rnacentral:piRNA from 1 species
UAUUUAAUAGCUGUAACUUGU